rnacentral:rRNA from 1 species
UUUUAUGGAGAGUUUGAUCCUGGCUCAGGAUGAACGCUGGCGGCGUGCCUAAUACAUGCAAGUCGAGCGAACAGACGAGGAGCUUGCUCCUCUGACGUUAGCGGCGGACGGGUGAGUAACACGUGGAUAACCUACCUAUAAGACUGGGAUAACUUCGGGAAACCGGAGCUAAUACCGGAUAAUAUAUUGAACCGCAUGGUUCAAUAGUGAAAGACGGUUUUGCUGUCACUUAUAGAUGGAUCCGCGCCGCAUUAGCUAGUUGGUAAGGUAACGGCUUACCAAGGCGACGAUGCGUAGCCGACCUGAGAGGGUGAUCGGCCACACUGGAACUGAGACACGGUCCAGACUCCUACGGGAGGCAGCAGUAGGGAAUCUUCCGCAAUGGGC